rnacentral:rRNA from 1 species
UACAGAGACCUCAAGCGUUAUCCGGAUUUAUUGGGCGUAAAGCGUGUGUAGGCGGAUAUGUUAGUCAGAUGUCAAAUCUUCGAGCUCAACUCGAAAACUGCAUUUGAAACGGCAUAUCUAGAGAUAGGGAGAGAUCAAUGGAACAUAUAGUGUAGCAGUGAAAUGCGUUGAUAUUAUAUGGAACACCAAAGGCGAAGGCAUUUGGUUGGUCCUCAUCUGACGCUGAGACACGAAAGCGUGGGUAGCGAAUGGGAUUAGAAACCCC